rnacentral:rRNA from 1 species
CAGUAGCCGCGGGAAUACGAAGGGUGCAAGCGUUAAUCGGAAUUACUGGGCGUAAAGCGUGCGUAGGCGGUGAGUUAAGUCUGCUGUGAAAUCCCCGGGCUCAACCUGGGAAUGGCAGUGGAUACUGGCUCGCUAGAGUGUGUCAGAGGAUGGUGGAAUUCCCGGUGUAGUGGUGAAAUGCGUAGAGAUCUGGAGGAAUACCGAUGGCGAAGGCAGCCAUCUGGCCUAAUACUGACGCUGAGGUACGAAAGCAUGGGGAGCAAACAGGAUUAGAUACCCCCGUAGUCCCUGUCUCUUAUAC